UUGGUGUAUGUGCAAACAGAACGAACAUAGACCGAUAUCCCCCCAACCCUCACACCUGGAUGUCCCUAAGGAAAAAAGAAAUUACUGCUUUACCGGAACAAUCAAUGGCUGUAAGCUACGGGCGGAAACCACCCAGAACCGAUUCGUGCAAGCCAGCCCCAGGGCUCCUGGUUCAUCUGGAAGCAUAGUCUCCAAGUUGGGAUGAGAGGUCUGUGUCCUCCGGUCACCCCUGCCUCAGCACUUUCCCAGGGGGGCACAACCAUGGGACAGUCCUGCCAGACAGAGACACCAAUUCUGGACUUUGAAAACAGAACUAGUAACACAAAGAAAGGACCAGAAGAACUCUACAAGACAGCGGGAGAGGAUGCAGGAGCCCACCUCCUCGGCAGCAGAGAGGCAUUGGCAGCGUUGGAAUCCAGAAGGAGCAGUCUGUGGUUCAAGUUCAGAUGUGGUCCCAGCUUCAGAAGACUUCUUUCUACAGAAGUUCUAGACUGGGAUUUUGGGCAUUGCUCCUGGCUGGAGGUCCCAGACCUGGUCCCAGAGAUACCGUGAGAUACCCAGUACCCUUUCGUUGUUAGUAACUGGUUCAAAUGAAAAAAAAAAAUGCAUACUUUGCAUAUGUGUUCAUUUUUGUGCAAACAUGCAUAAACCCUUUAUCCUCUCACCCUCCAUGCCUCUUGGUACAAUUUACUUACCGUAACAUUCACACGUUGCGGUUGAGCAGAGCAAUGGGUUUUAGUGAAUUUAUAGCGCUAUAUAACCACCAUCUAGUUGGAUUUUUAUUUUGUUUGAGUAUGUAGUUCUAGGAAUUCUGAUCCAUCU